GUGCACACUUCAGCAGCACAUAUACUAAAAUUGGAAUCAUACAGAGAAGAUUAGCAUGGCCCCUGCACAAGGAUGUUACGCAUAUUCAUGAAGUGUUCCAUAUUCUU